rnacentral:snRNA from 1 species
GGCCAGCAGAUAAUGGGC